rnacentral:pre_miRNA from 1 species
AAUUCAACUGAAAAAGUCAUGAACAUAAAAGUUGUAGAACUCAUCAAGACAUACAACUUUUAUUUUGGUCAUUUCUUCAUCCGACAAAAUGAUAGUAACAUUGUUCACAAAAUUUACAUCUCUCAUUUAGUUAGAGAUGUAAAUUUUGUGAACAAUGUUACUAUCACUUUGUCGGAUGAAGAAAUGACCAAAAUAAAAGUUAUAUAUCUUGAUGAUUUAUACAACUUUGUUGUUGAUGACUUUUCCAGUUGAAAUC